UCCUGUAAAUACGGCGGUGAAGUUAGUUUCAGGUUGGAUAUAUUUUCCUGUAAAUACGGCGGUGAAGUUAGUUUCAGGUUGGAUAUAUUUUCCUGUAAAUACGGCAGUGAAGUUAGUUUUAGGUUGGAUAUAUUCUCCUGUAAAUACGGCGGUGAAGUUAGUUUCAGGUUGGAUAUAUUUUCCUGUAAAUACGGCGGUGAAGUUAGUUUCAGGUUGGAGAUAUUUUCCUGUAAAUACGGCGGUGAAGUUAGUUUUAGGUUGGAUAUAUUUUCCUGUAAAUACGGCGGUGAAGUUAGUUUCAGGUUGGAUAUAUUUUCCUGAAAAUACGGCGGUGAAGUUAGUUUCAGGUUGGAUAUAUUUUCCUGUAAAUACAGCGGUGAAGUUAGUUUUAGGUUGGAUAUUUUUUCCUGUAAAUACGGCGGUGAAGUUAGUUUCAGGUUGGAUAUAUUUUCCUGUAAAUACGGCGGUGAAGUUAGUUUCAGGUUGGAUAUAUUCUCCUGUAAAUACGGCGGUGAAGUUAGUUUCAGGUUGGAUAUCUGACGGACAUUCUCUGAGGAUCUACCGGUGUCUUCUCACUCUCCAUAACCGGGAAUAACAACAGCAGCGCGGUUAAAUCUACUCGACACCCUCACUGUCAACGUCGGUGUUGAAUAAGGGACCGUCAAUAAAUUACCGGUUGAUGUUCUCAGAAAAGGCUGUUUUCCUUCAAUAGCUUCACUGUCAUGUGACCAAAAGA